UACAGAGGGGGCGAGCGUUGUUCGGAAUUACUGGGCGUAAAGGGCGCGUAGGCGGCCGGCUAAGUCCGACGUGAAAUCCCCAGGCUCAACCUGGGAACUGCGUCGGAUACUGACUGGCUUGAAUCCGGGAGAGGGAUGUGGAAUUCCAGGUGUAGCGGUGAAAUGCGUAGAUAUCUGGAGGAACACCGGUGGCGAAGGCGGCAUCCUGGACCGGUAUUGACGCUGAGGCGCGAAAGCCAGGGGAGCAAACGGG
rnacentral:rRNA from 1 species